rnacentral:rRNA from 1 species
ACAAGCGGUGGAUGAUGUGGAUUAAUUCGAUGCAACGCGAAGAACCUUACUACCCUUGACAUGUCCGGAACUUGCCAGAGAUGGCUUGGUGCCCGAAAGGGAAUCGGAACACAGGUGCUGCAUGGCUGUCGUCAGCUCGUGUCGUGAGAUGUUGGGUUAAGUCCCGCAACGAGCGCAACCCUUAUCAUUAGUUGCUACGCAAGGGCACUCUAAUGAGACUGCCGGUGACAAACCGGAGGAAGGUGGGGAUGACGUCAAGUCCUCAUGGCCCUUAUAGGUGGGGCUACACACGUCAUACAAUGGCUGGUACAAAGGGUUGCCAACCCGCGAGGGGGAGCCAAUCCCAUAAAGCCAGUCGUAGUCCGGAUCGCAGUCUGCAACUCGACUGCGUGAAGUCGGAAUCGCUAGUAAUCGUGGAUCAGCAUGUCACGGUGAAUACGUUCCCGGGUCUU